rnacentral:tRNA from 1 species
CAUAAAAUAAUUAAAAUUAAAAUGAUAACAUUGGAGGUUAAUUAAUAAAAUUAUAAUUUUUAUUUUUUGU